rnacentral:lncRNA from 1 species
AGAGAGUUUUGUUAUAAAAACGUUCUCCCCGUUUAUUGCAUUCUGUAUGUACUUUGGAUCUUCUUGAAGCCGGUGAUCAUCUCAUUGUUAUCCUUCCAACGCCAUUUCUGAAAACUGCAAUAUUUAUCUUUCAUUUCGGAGGUGUUUGCCUGGUUCUUCUCUCUAAUCUCUCAAGUAUUACAUCUAUCAGCCAACCCACCAAUCAGUAACCAUUUAUUAAUACUUUGCUAUGUGCUUGGCAGUAUUCUUGGUGUGGGGACACAGAGUUUACUUUCAUCCUCUGUCCAUCUUCCAGGUUUUCCACUCCCAAGAAUGCAGUUCAUCUGGAGCUGCUCACUUGGGCUCAGGAAGGGCUGAUAGGCACUAUUUUCCCAUCUGCUUGUCACCUUGCCGUAAUUCAGCCCUUAUUGCUUUGGGCCAUUCCAGGCUGCAGGUCACCCUUUUUGACAGAUUAGAAGUGAGAAUUGAUGGGUUUUUCUUCUUCCUCAUUUUUGGCUGGCGCUGUCCCACUGACCCCCAGCCAGGAGUCCUUUUCUUCCUCUUUCCAUCAGUCUGGUAAAGACAAGCAAACCCUGUCUGUUAGCCUUCUCUUCACUGGCUUGCUCCUGAUCAUUGGACCCUGGAGGUCUUAAGACCUUCAUUGUGUCUUCAGAGUUGGCUCAUGACAGUGUUCUAUUCACCCUCUAUUACCCCAAAGAGGAAAGAUCUUCUCCCAAGUUGGGCUUGUGGGGGUGGGGCAAGAGCACCCCCAGGACUCCUGCCAGGAUCAGGACAAGAUUCAGACUUCCACAAACAGCAGCCCCAAGCUUCAUGUCUCUUGGAAAUAUUACCCAGCAUCACUCAGCAGUUAGUAAGUGACUACUCAGAAAUGAGCCGGUUGUGGGAGAGGGGAGGGACACUUUUAGCCACGGCCACAGAUGACUACUUACUCCCCCAUUUUGACUGAGCUAUUAUCAAUCACAUGGGAUGUUCUCGAAGCAGUGACUAACACGCUACAAAGGGGCCAUUGCUGCCCAUGUG